CCUACGGGCGGCAGCAGUGAGGAAUAUUGGUCAAUGGACGAGAGUCUGAACCAGCCAAGUAGCGUGAAGGAUGACUGCCCUAUGGGUUGUAAACUUCUUUUAUAUGGGACUAAAAUGUUCCACGUGUGGGAUUUUGUAUGUACCAUAUGAAUAAGGAUCGGCUAAUUCGGUGCCAGCAGCCGCGGUAAUACGGAGGAUCCGGGCGUUAUCCGGAUUUAUUGGGUUUAAGGGGGGCGUAGGUGGAUUGUUAAGUCAGUUGUGAAAGUUUGCGGCUCAAGCGUAGAAUUGCAGUUGAAACUGGCAGUCUGGAGUGCAGAAGAGGUGGGAGGAAUGCGUGGUGUAGCGGUGAAAUGCUUAGAUAUCACGAAGAACUCCGAUUGCGAAGGCAGUUCACUGGACUGCAACUGACGCUGAGGCUCGAAAGUGUGGGUAUCAAACAGGAUUAGAUACCCGAGUAGUC
rnacentral:rRNA from 1 species